GUCGAACGAUGAAGCCCUUCGGGGUGGAUUAGUGGCGAACGGGUGAGUAACACGUGGGCAAUCUGCCCUUCACUCUGGGACAAGCCCUGGAAACGGGGUCUAAUACCGGAUAAUACUCCUGCCUGCAUGGGCGGGGGUUGAAAGCUCCGGCGGUGAAGGAUGAGCCCGCGGCCUAUCAGCUUGUUGGUGGGGUAAUGGCCCACCAAGGCGACGACGGGUAGCCGGCCUGAGAGGGCGACCGGCCACACUGGGACUGAGACACGGCCCAGACUCCUACGGGAGGCAGCAGUGGGGAAUAUUGCACAAUGGGCGAAAGCCUGAUGCAGCGACGCCGCGUGAGGGAUGACGGCCUUCGGGUUGUAAACCUCUUUCAGCAGGGAAGAAGCGAAAGUGACGGUACCUGCAGAAGAAGCGCCGGCUAACUACGUGCCAGCAGCCGCGGUAAUACGUAGGGCGCAAGCGUUGUCCGGAAUUAUUGGGCGUAAAGAGCUCGUAGGCGGCUUGUCACGUCGGAUGUGAAAGCCCGAGGCUUAACCUCGGGUCUGCAUUCGAUACGGGCUAGCUAGAGUGUGGUAGGGGAGAUCGGAAUUCCUGGUGUAGCGGUGAAAUGCGCAGAUAUCAGGAGGAACACCGGUGGCGAAGGCGGAUCUCUGGGCCAUUACUGACGCUGAGGAGCGAAAGCGUGGGGAGCGAACAGGAUUAGAUACCCUGGU
rnacentral:rRNA from 1 species